GGCUUCAUGGUCUAGUGGUAUGAUUCCUGCUUUGUAAGUUCUUCACAGCAAUCAAAUUUGAGAAUCAAAACAGUUUUCUAACAGUGCAAUCACAGGGGUUCACAGCUCAAACUUGCAGGAGGCCCCGCGUUCGAAUCGCGGUGGAGCCC